rnacentral:lncRNA from 1 species
CCAGCGUAUAGUUCUACCGUGUAAAGUGCAGGACGUCUCUUCAUUAAGUUUCUCAUAAAUGGAAGCAUCUUUAAAUGAUUAUUGUGACGUCAUAACCUCGUGACAAUGUCGCACCUGAGAUGUUAAUUUCAGAAUCAAUUUUUCAGUUUUUCAGAUUGAACCAUAUGUUGAUUGUCAAUUCAUUUGUCGGUCGUUGCUGAUGAUGGAAGUCUUGUCUACUAAUCAAGCCUAGAAGGACUAUGAAAUGACAUUGUUAAAACUUGUGUGUGGGACAAAGACUCUUCCUAUACGUAACUAAUAGAGACACGUGCCUUGGAUAUUCUAUUUCUAAAGGUAAGUUUUAUUUU